rnacentral:rRNA from 1 species
CAGCAGUGGGAAUCUUAGACAAUGGGCGCAAGCCUGAUCUAGCCAUGCCGCGUGAGUGAUGAAGGCCUUAGGGUCGUAAAGCUCUUUCGCCAGGGAUGAUAAUGACAGUACCUGGUAAAGAAACCCCGGACUAACUCCGUGCCAGCAGCCGCGGUAAUACGGAGGGGUUAGCGUUGUUCGGAAUUACUGGGCGUAAAGCGCGCGUAGGCGGAUUAGUCAGUUAGAGGUGAAAUCCCAGGGCUCAACCCUGGAACUGCCUUUAAUACUGCUAGUCUUGAGUUCGAGAGAGGUGAGUGGAAUUCCGAGUGUAGAGGUGAAAUUCGUAGAUAUUCGGAGGAACACCAGUGGCGAAGGCGGCUCACUGGCUCGAUACUGACGCUGAGGUGCGAAAGUGUGGGGAGCAAACAGGAUUAGAUACCCUGGUAG